AGCACAUGUGCUAUGUAUGUAAUGUUAACAGCAAGGUUUACCCUGAAAGAGUGUAGCCACUGUUUUAUAAAAUGUGUCUUUUUAAAUACCACUGUCCCUUUUUUUUUCUCCACCAGCUGCAUGUGUUUCAAUGAUCACAGGAUCUUCUUCCCAGAGGCUAGUGAAGAUUAGAAAGAAAAAAAAUGCACUCGUGAUGAAAUGUUCUCCGAGCUCAUGCUGUCCUCCCACACUGACAGAGCACAGAUGAAUGCGUGGAGGCAAAUAUUGUCAGAGUGCAGGAAAGCACAAAAUGACCAGGAGGAGAGGUGGCAGGCUGAAGAGAGUAAGUGGCAGGCUGAAGACAGGUCUGAAGCUCAAAUGUGGCGGCAGCGUGAUGAGAGGAGGCAGGAUUCAAUGCUGAGGCUGCUGGAGGACCAAACCAGUAUGCUCCAGUGUAUGGCUGAGCUGCAGCAAAGGCAGCUGGAGCACAGACUGCCGCUACAGCCCCUGCGUAACCAUCCGCCCUCCUCCCCAAGUUCCUUCGCUUGUUAGACCUCCAGUAAACUGGCAGGAGAGACUUCUUCUUGCCUUUCUAAGGCACCGGGGUUCUCAGCACGGCAAACAAGUAUUGCUUUACACUUAUAAUCCCCUGAUGUGUUGGUGCAGAGCAACAACGUGAGUCAAUUUUUGGCAGCUUUAAAUCCUGGUUCUGAAUGCUCCUGCUGGGCGAUGUAGCUUCUGGAUUGUGUUCAUUUCCAGAACAAACCUGUUUCAUCAGCAUUCAAAACCUGCUGGGUCUUGUAAUUAUUGUCCUCAUAAUUUUUGCUAGCUCAGCAGGGAAGAGUUCUGCUUCUUGGUGGUCAGCUGAUGCACAUUCCCCUGUAAACUUCACAUUAUGGAGGUUAACGCACUUCCUAAAAUUAUGAAACCAGCCACAACUAAAUGACAUUCCUUUGGAUGGUUCUCCUUCAUUCUCACACACAGCUGUGUAUUAUUUCUGCCCCUUCUCACGAAUGACUGUGCUACAGACUGCUGCCUGUUUGAGUCUGAUCUUCAAUCCAUGUGUUCAACAAAGUCUCUGUUUUAUUUAGCUGAACAUCCCACCUCAUCAUCCUCUUGAUGAUUAAUUCUUGUCCUGCUCUCAGUGGACAUGGAAAACAAUUGAUCACAGGACCUCUUUAUAACAGCCCUUGCCGUAUUUGAAGACUGUUAUCAGUUCCCCCGUUCUUCUUUUCUCAAGACUAAAUAGUUUUUUUUUAACCUUUUCUCAUAAAUCAGGUUUUCUGAAACAUUUAUCAUUUUUGUUGUUUUCCUCAACUCUCUCCAGUUUCUCCAGAUCUUUCAUGAAAUGUGGUACCAAGAACUGCCCAUGGUUCUCCAGUUAAGGCCUCACCAGUGCCAAGUAAAGUGGGACAAUUGCCUACCAUGUCUUAUAUAUGACAUUCCUAGUAACAAACUCUGGAAUGAUGUUAGCCUUUUUUGCACCUGCAUUACAUUAUUGACUCUAUUCAACAUGUGAUUCACGAUAACCCCCUGGUCCUUUUCUGUAGCUUUACUGCCUACGCAGUUAUUCUCCAUUUUGUAUUUGUGCAUUUGAUUUUUCUUUCCUAAGUGUAGUUCUCUGCAUUUGUCAUCAUUGUAUUUCAUUGUAGUGACUUCAGACCAAUUUAUCAAGGAUCUUUUGAAUUGUAAUUCUGUCCUCCAAAGUGCUUGCAACCCCUCCCAUCUUGAUGUCAUUCACAGAUUUUACAAGGAUACUCUUCAAUUCAUUAUCUAAGUCAUUAAUGUGAAUAUUGAAUAGUACUGGAUCCAGGACAGACUUCUGUGGGUUCCCACUAGAUACACCGUCCCACUAUGACAGGGGACCACGGUUACAUAAUAGGGUGAUAAGUAAUAGCCAACAUGGAUUUCUCAUGAACAAAUCAUGCCAAAUCAACCUAAGUUUCAGUAAGACAUUUGACAUAUUCCCACAUAGCAUUUCCAGAAGCCAACUAGGGAAAUGUGGUCUAAAUGAAAUUAUAAGUAUGUUUCUUCAACCAGCUGUGCACCCACCUUAUAAUAAUUUCAAAUGCUUUAUGGAAAUCAAGAUAUAUUGUGUCUGCUGUUUCCCCCUUAUCCAUUCAUCCAGUGACCCUGUUAAAGAGGGAACUUAGGAUGAUUUGACUUGAUUUGUUUAUGAGAAAUCCAUGUUGGCUAUUACUUAUCACCCUAUUAUCCUCUAGGUCAGUGGUGGGCAACCUGUGGUCCUCAUGCCGCACGCGGUCCGACAGGGUAAUCCGCUGGCGGGCUUCCAGACAGUUUGUUUACAUUUGCAUGGCCGCCUGCAGCUCCCAGUGGCCACAGUUCGCCAUGGUGAAUGGGACAGGUUGCUGCACAAGGCUUUCUAGGAAGCAAAGGUAAAAUAUCCAGUUAGCCAUGAGAACACUCAUCUCAGCAUUCUGAAAUUCCACCUCCAUGAGAUUGAAUGAUGAGAUAGGCAGCUACAUAACACUUUCCCCAGCUACAUAACACCAUCUACCGUUUUGCUAGGCAGCAGGCCCACUUAGAGAUUUUGGCCAUGUGGUGUUGAAUGGGACAGUACCUAAAUGCCUCUAAAAUCUGUUCCUUCGUGAUUAAAUAUUUAAUUUUGCUUAUAAAGAACGAUUUAAGAGAUUAGAAAUCUUUAAGAAAAAAAUGAGAGAGAACGAGAACAUGUUCAGAUAGCAAUAUAACAUCAAAAAUACAAAAUUCUUCAUGCUCUCCUAGAGUGAUUAUUUAUAGCAAUAUUUUACUGAGGGUAUUUGUUCUUAUUGUGAAUGUUGGUAUCAUCAUAUGAUAUUAAACUUACUAAUUAUGUGACUCCAUUUAACAAACAAACAAAGACCCAAACUUUCAGAGAGGAACCAUUGCAUCCUUAUGCACCAUAUUGUAAAAGGUCAGAAGUAAUUUUCAUGGUGUCAUUACAGGAUGGAGUCAGGAGAUGGCAGCAUUGUGCCAUUCUUUAGAUGCUCGCUCUUCAACUGCGUCUGCGAUUUCAGAGACUUUUAAAAUGUAAGAAUUGCCAUACUCCAUCAGUUCAGUGGUCCAUCUGCAGAGACCAGAAGAUGCUUCAGAAGAAGGUACAAGAGUAACCCUUGGAAUAAUCUGCCAAUAGGGAAGAUUUUUCUCCUACUUGUCAGUUUGUGAUUGACUUACCCCUGAAGAAUGAGGGUUUAUAUUCCUUACAUGUUUUUUUUACCUAACAUAACUGUGGAUGUUUUCAUUAUCUAUGUAAAUGUUAAUCAUUUAUUGAAUCUUACUCAAGCUUCAAUGA